AGAGUUUGAUCCUGGCUCAGGAUGAACGCUAGCUACAGGCUUAACACAUGCAAGUCGAGGGGCAUCAGUUUGGUUUGCUUGCAAACCAAAGCUGGCGACCGGCGCACGGGUGAGUAACACGUAUCCAACCUGCCUCAUACUCGGGGAUAGCCUUUCGAAAGAAAGAUUAAUAUCCGAUAGCAUAUAUUUCCCGCAUGGGUUUUAUAUUAAGAAAUUCGGUAUGAGAUGGGAUGCGUUCCAUUAGUUGUUGGCGGGGUAACGGCCCACCAAGACUACGAUGGAUAGGGGUUCUGAGAGGAAGGUCCCCCACAUUGGAACUGAGACACGGUUCCAAACUCCCUACGGGAGGCA
rnacentral:rRNA from 1 species